rnacentral:lncRNA from 1 species
UCGAAAAACAUAGUAGGCAACCAAAACAAAAAAGACAAAUAGAAACUAAAAUAAAAAACUACAGAAAAUUGAUACUUAUACUCCUUACUCAAAAUCAAGGCACUAAGAGCUACAAAACUCAGUCCAUUAUCUACUCACGUCCCGUAUCCGUCUAAUAGUCAAAAAAGGGUCAAAUGAUUGGCUCCUAAAAAUAAUAUUAUUUCUUUCCCGCCAAAUUAUCUACCAACAAGUUACGACCCUGAUUAGAUUCCUCGCAGCUGCCCCUUGGCGGCGGUCCCCAGCCAGAAGCUCCCAAACACUCUUGACCUCCAUCCCCGGUCCUGGAAUGUGCCUACCUUCUAGGAUGUUAUACAUGAAAAAUCUGCUGAUUACGUAUCCAACCCGCAGGUGAUCAACAGUCUCUAAAUCGUUAUCGCACAUCACGCACUGUUGAUUCCUAAACCAGCCUCUUUUGAGUAAGUUGUCAAUUGUAGAU